rnacentral:rRNA from 1 species
AGAAUCAACGCUGGCGGCGUGCCUAACACAUGCAAGUCGAACGCGAGAGGGGCUUCGGCCCUGAUUGAGUGGCAAACGGGUGAGUAACGCGUGGGUGACCUACCUUCGAGUGGGGGAUAACGUUCCGAAAGGGACGCUAAUACCGCAUGACAUCCUGUCUUUGGACAGAUGGAGAUCGAAAGGCCGGGGAUCGGUAAGACCGUGGCGCUUGGAGGGACGGGGCCCGCGUCCGAUUAGACCUAGGUUGGUAGGGGUAAUCGGCCCAACCGAAGGACAACGAUCGGUACGGCCGGCUGAGGAGGGCCGGACGACCGACACGUGGAC